GCACACCCAGAUCAAUACUGCACUAAGUCAAAAAAUCCCCGAAUCGACUUAUUUAUAUAGUUAAAUAGGCAUUUUUUUCCCGCACAUACCACAAAGACAGCCAUAUCUUUAUUUGCUAAAACAGCCAACAGAUGUCGUGCUAAGUCUCUUUUGGUGAAUGAAUAACUGCCUAGUCGUACCACGAAUAAGAAUCUAAUUCGAGUUGCAACUUGUUCCUUUAUAGAAGCAGCAUAUAGUGACGUUACGUAACAGUGAAUUAUUUUGUAAUGGUUAAGUAUUGUUGAAUGAAGUAGAAAAUUACUCCGAAUUAUUUAGAUUUAAUGCAGUGUUGGUGAAUUUCCUGCUUCUGCUGUUUUGAUAGUAUUUCUAAAUAAUACUGUAUUGGUGACGAGGAUGAUGAAGGGUCGGGGUCUAUUGUUGCUUGAAAAGGCAUUGGAAGCAACGGCAAUCGAGGCUGCGUCAACCA